UGUAUCUAACUAUCAGACCCGUAUUGGAAUAUGCUGUUCCAAUAUGGCAAGCGAUCCCUGACUACUUAAGUGAAAGGAUAGAAUCAAUACAGACAAGGGCACUUCGAAUCAUCUUCCCUUCCAUAGACAAUUAUAAUGAGGCGAUGAUGAUGGCACAGAUACCAACAUUGGAGAGCAGACGCGAACUGUUAUGUAAAAAAUAUAGCCUACGAAAUGGGCAAGACAAUACUAUUUUAUUUAAGAACACAACCAAAUGCAGAACUUUAAGAUCUGAACAAUUUUUUAUCUUUAAAUAUUUUUAAUGUUUAUACAUAGUUUUAACAAUUGUAUGUAUUCAUGUAAAUAUAGUUUUAGUAAUACUUUGGUCUCGUUAAUUC